AAGGAGGUGAUUCCAGUGGUUUUCAAGAACAAUGUGGAAGGUCAGGUGGAGAGAGACUGGGGGCAGAAGGCUCAGAAAAGAGAGUGCAACAGCAAUCUGGUAUGUAUGGAUGAAGACAGCACACACGCGUCCUCCUGCUGCAAGGAGGGGAGCCACCUGGCCUUCCGCUCUGCACCUUCCCUGCAACUUCCUAUGCCCCUCAGCAAAACACAAGGGAUGCAAAUGUGCUGAUGUAAAAUGGAUCCAAGCGGAGGAGGAGGCAUUUGAAUUUACCUGCUACUAGCCUAGAACCUGACUGAAGGCUGCACAGGUAUUUGUGAGCAUCAAGUUCUAGAAGCCUUUCCCUCCAGGGGAUCAUUGAAGGAAUUGUAGGUUAUAAAUAGAUGCACUUUGUUUGUGGUCUGUUUCAAUAAGGUCAGGCUUUUUUAUUUUUUUAAGAUAAAAAAAUUUUAAGGUAGUGAAACAACAUUGUUUAGUAGGGACAACACUUUUUCAGAUUCAAUUUGCAACUACAGGG
rnacentral:lncRNA from 12 species